rnacentral:ncRNA from 1 species
UAACUGGCUUGUGGCGGCCAAGCGUUCAUAGCGAUAUCACGUUUUGAUUCUUCGAUGUCGGCUCUUCCUAUCAUUGCGAAGCAGAAUUCGCCAAGCGUUGGAUUGUUCACCCACUAAUAGGGAACGUGAGCUGGGUUUAGACCGUCGUGAGACAGAUUAGUUCCCCCCGGGAGUCGACGUAGAGAACUCUGCGAAGUUACUGGCUAGGAUCUGUACCUAGGCAGUCUCGGCCACGGGGGUAUACAAAUUAUGAACCUAGUGGUUCUGGGAGCUACGGAAAGGUCAUUUAUUGGCCGGCCCAGGGUUCGGCAUGUCUUAGAGCAGGGUGGUUUGGUAGCCCGGGGGUAACACCUCGGGUUUGCUGGGUAAUGUCCCCCUGCGACGGGCUCGCCCGUGCGACUGGUGGGUAGCAAAUUGACUAUCAGUGACGCCGCAGAUUGGGUGCGUUGAACCUCGGCCUCGGUUCUGCGGGGGGAAGGACCCGUAGUGCGAUUAAGUUCGCGGAACGGGGAAUGCCUAGAGUU